AAGUCUCAAUGCUCUCAACUAUUAAAGGAGCUCCUAAGGUUGUGACCCAUGAUUGAAGUUCUCUACACAAGGCCAAAGUCACUCAAUAGUGCUAUAAUUUCCUAGGGGAAUGUAAAA
rnacentral:snoRNA from 1 species